CCCUUCUUCAUGCUUUCUCCUGCUCCCCUCAGGGACUGAGAGCCCUGUGUCCACAAUUUCCUCCUUAGGUCAUAUUUCUGUCCUAGUUUUGCUCUUCGGUGUUCAGUGUAAGAUUCCAUGGCUAGGAAAGCACAUUGACUGCAUGGAGCUACUUAUAAGAAAAACCAGAGCAACCUCCAGUGGCUGAAGAGGUGAAUUCCUCCUAGAACUCUUUUCUUUUUUUCUUUUUUUUAAAGAUUUAUUUAUUCAGGAGAGACACAGAGAGAGAGAGAGAGGCAGAGACACAGGCAGAGGGAGAAGCGGGCUCCCUGUGGGGGGCCUGAUGAGGGACUCCAUCCCAGGACUCCAGGAUCAGGACCUGAGCCAAAGGCAGAUGCCCAACCACUGAGCCACCCAGGCAUCCCUCUUUUUUCUGACUCUUGGCCACAAGCCCCUUCUUUUUGCUUUUUUUCUUUUUUCUUCCAGUUCACUCACUCCUUUACAGCAAGGCCUGGAUUUUCUGAGGCAACGCGGUUACAAAUGUCUUGUGCCCUGAUCCCCUGAUGGACCCUCAUGCUUUUGUCAGCUCGAGCAUGCUGAUUCUUGGUUCAGGAAAUGUGGUCACCAGAGAUGACCUCCCUGGGAGCCUCGCAAGGGCCACAGGCCGCAUAGAGAUGAGAAUUCCCCAUCCCUCUACAGGUGCCAGAACCUUUAUUUUAACUUUUUAUGCUGAAAUAAUUUCCAACUUACAGAAAAGUUACAAGAACAGUGCAAGGAACUUCCAUAUACUUUUCACCAACCUUUCACUGACUCUGGCUGGAAGGAUCUCAGUGAGUUCACGGGGUACAAUUUCUCAGGAUCACUAGUAAAGAAUGUCGUCAUUCUAAGUAUUGCUUAGUCUGUCAUACAUUUAAUCUCCUAAUUUUUCUUCCUGCCUUAAGUGAUUAAGAUUUAGCUAAAUUAAUUUUGCUACCUAUUUUGAACCUGAAAUCAGAAGUAUGGAAAGCCCUAGAGGUAUUAAAGCCAUUGACCUGAUGACCUACAGAAGUUAAACUAUUUCAGACUGAAGAAAAUUAAUCCUGGCUUGUAGCUACACUAUUUAUUUAUUCAUUACAAGUAUUUAUUGCUAGGAACAUUUUGUAAUGGAUAUAACACUGUCAGAAGGCCUUUCUAUCUACUCUUGUCCUCUAAUAUGGAAGCACAUCUGACUUCAUCAAGGAUGGAGGGUAUUCUGAUAAAGCAAAAAAUAGAGAGAAAUUAAAAGUUUUCUUAAAUAUUUCUUUCUGCAGCCAAAUUAUUCAUCACUGAAGUUUUUGUUUUGUUUUGUUUUUAGUGAUCUUAUUUUCUAAUGCCUGGAAUCUAUGUUGCUAAA
rnacentral:lncRNA from 12 species